rnacentral:misc_RNA from 1 species
AAGUCGUAACAAGGUUUCCGUAGGUGAACCUGCGGAAGGAUCAUUACCUAGAGUUGCGGGCUUUGCCUGCCAUCUCUUACCCAUGUCUUUUGAGUACCUUACGUUUCCUCGGCGGGUCCGCCCGCCGACUGGACAAUUUAAACCACUUGCAGUUGCAAUCAGCGUCCGAAAUGUAAAAAUCAUAUUAGUCAACAAC